AUGCUGUCUUUGGCAGCACAUAUACUGAAAUUGGAACAAUACAGAGAAGACUAGUAUGGCCCCACACAAGGAUGACAUGCCAAUUCAUAAAGUGUCAUUCCUCAAA
ensembl:snRNA U6 U6 spliceosomal RNA